UACGUAGGGAGCGAGCGUUGUCCGGAAUUACUGGGUGUAAAGGGAGUGUAGGCGGGACUGUAAGUCAGAUGUGAAAAUUAGGGGCUCAACCCCUAACCUGCAUUUGAAACUGCUUCCCUCGAGUAUCGGAGAGGUAACCGGAAUUCCGAGUGUAGCGGUGAAAUGCGUAGAUAUUCGGAGGAACACCGGUGGCGAAGGCGGCCAACUGGGCUUUAACUGACGCUGAGGCUCGAAAGUGUGGGGAGCAA
rnacentral:rRNA from 1 species